UACGAAGGGGGCUAGCGUUGUUCGGAAUUACUGGGCGUAAAGCGCACGUAGGCGGACAUUUAAGUCAGAGGUGAAAUCCCGGAGCUCAACUUCGGAACUGCCUUUGAUACUGGGUGUCUUGAGUAUGGAAGAGGUUAGUGGAAUUGCGAGUGUAGAGGUGAAAUUCGUAGAUAUUCGCAGGAACACCAGUGGCGAAGGCGGCUAACUGGUCCAUAACUGACGCUGAGGUGCGAAAGCGUGGGGAGCAAACAGG
rnacentral:rRNA from 1 species